ensembl:lncRNA novel transcript
ACACGUGAAAACGCCCCGGACUGCGGCUGCGCCGCUUACCCGCACACAGACGGUUGGCAGAGGAAGAAAGCCUUGUCACACUAAAGGAGAGACAGCGGAUGUUCUGAACAGUCCUGUCGUGAAACGUUAGACAACGUGGACGAAACAGGCACAUUCCUAAGCAUCACACAUUACUGAAACUCAGUCAAGAAGAAAUAGAAAAUCUGAAUACAUCCAUGGCAAGCACAGAAACUGAACUAGGGGAUUCGAAAUCUUCCCACAAAGAAAAGCCUAGGCCCAACUGGCCUCUAUGAUACAGCAAGAAGGUGCCAUCUAUGAAGGAGAAGACAAGCCCUCACCAGACACCAAAUCUGCUGAUGCUUUGAUCUUGGACUUCCCAGCCUCCAGAACUGCUCACACCCCUUUAUUAACUGAAGCUGACUUAACCCGAACUAUCUGAAGCUGACUCAACCCGAACUAUCCGAGAUCACACGUAAAUGUUUUCCUUCUGAUCUCAACUUUUCUCCUUAUCGUGGGGCAUGGAAAGGAGGAGAUCGCAGCAGGGAAGUUUUUGUUCUUGUUCACAUGCUAACAAUGGUAAGCUUCUUAAAAGUGAAUCACAGUAGCAUCACAGAGUUUGGACAGGUGAUGUAACUAGGAGCUACGAAAAUUGAGUGCCAUAAAAGAAUCAUCUUUAAAUACUGAAGUGCUUCUGUAUGCUUGAAUUAUACAGCAUUUCCUGUUUCAAAGCAGUUUCACACAAUCUCAUUUAACACUUUUAAAGUCAUAGUAGUUGAACCGAGUAUAUCGCACCCCUGUUACGGCUUUUUCUUGAUUAUAGGACAAAAUGAAAAGAACUUUUAUGAUCUGGCUCCAAUUAUACUUUCAAGGUUCAAGUCUUCCCAUCCGGUAAGAUUUUUCUUCUUUACAAAAUGCCCCAACUGAGGCACUCAUGUACUAGGCACAGGAGACUACCUGUUUGAAAUAUCCCUUGCUUCUGCUGGAAAUGCUGUUCCCACACUGAACUCAUGUGCCAACUCUCAGCUCAAAAGUGCAUGUUUGUCUCUACCAGUGGACUAAGGACCAGCUCCUAGGAUGGGAGCAGUUUCUUACUCAUGUUUAUAAAGUGCUAUGCAGAAAAUAGCAGGGCUAUGGGAAAGAAAGAGACCAGGUUAGAAAAGUCAUUUGAAUCGGAUCUGCAUGAAAAAAGGCACUUUAGAUAAGACCUGAUAGCAAAGGGCUGUAAGAGGAGAAAAGGGCAAAUCAAAGGUACCGACAGAACAUAUUAAGCAUGGCCUAGGCUGAGCAAAGCCAAAUUUAAACAUAAUUUUGUAUGUUGAAGCACAUUAUUUUCCAAUAUGUUAAUGUGUAGCCAUUCUCACAUACAUAAUAAAGCUAAUGGAUUAUUUAUUCAAUUGUAUGUUUUGUUAUAGGAGCCUCUGUCAUUAAAAAGAAAAUUUAUUUUCGUAUCUGGGAAAAGUUGCCAAGGCAAAAAACACACACCUGGCCAUGCAUCUUUAGUUUGUUAUUGUUUUUAGGUUUAUUUGAAACUUACAAAGUGAAAAAAAUCAAUGACUUCUCAGAAAAAGGAAAAAAA